UGUCCCAUGGUGUAAUGGUAGCACAACAGGUUUUGGUUCUGUUUGACUAGGUUCGAGUCCUAGUGGGACAA
rnacentral:tRNA from 1 species